rnacentral:rRNA from 1 species
GCUCGAGUGGCGGACGGGUGAGUAACACGUGAGUAACCUGCCCUUGACUUUGGGAUAACUUCAGGAAACUGGGGCUAAUACCGGAUAGGAGCUCCUGCUGCAUGGUGGGGGUUGGAAAGUUUCGGCGGUUGGGGAUGGACUCGCGGCUUAUCAGCUUGUUGGUGGGGUAGUGGCUUACCAAGGCUUUGACGGGUAGCCGGCCUGAGAGGGUGACCGGCCACAUUGGGACUGAGAUACGGCCCAG